rnacentral:rRNA from 1 species
GAAUUCACUAGUGAUUCAGGCCUAACACAUGCAAGUCGAGCGGUAGAGAGAAGCUUGCUUCUCUUGAAAAAGGCGGACGGGUGAGUAAUGCCUAGGAAUCUGCCUGGUAGUGGGGGAUAACGUUCGGAAACGGACGCUAAUACCGCAUACGUCCUACGGGAGAAAGCAGGGGACCUUCGGGCCUUGCGCUAUCAGAUGAGCCUAGGUCGGAUUAGCUAGUUGGUGAGGUAAUGGCUCACCAAGGCUACGAUCCGUAACUGGUCUGAGAGGAUGAUCAGUCACACUGGAACUGAGACACGGUCCAGACUCCUACGGGAGGCAGCAGUGGGGAAUAUU